CCUACGGGAGGCAGCAGUGAGGAAUAUUGGUCAAUGGGCUGACGCCUGAACCAGCCAAGUCGCGUGAGGGAAGAAUGCCCUAUGGGUUGUAAACCUCUUUUGUCAGGGAGCAAAGCCGGCUACGUGUAGCCGGACUGAGAGUACCUGAAGACAAAGCAUCGGCUAACUCCGUGCCCGCAGCCGCGGUAAUACGGAGGAUGCGAGCGUUAUCCGGAUUUUUUGGGUUUAAAGGGUGCGUAGGCGGAAUGCCAAGUCAGCGGUAAAAUCGCGGGGCGCCACCUCGGUCGGGUGUUGAAACUGGCGUUCUUGAUUGGGAGAGAAGUAGGCGGAAUGCGGGGUGUAGCGGUGAAAUGCAUAGAUAUCACGCAGAACUCCGAGUGCGAAGGCAGCAUACCGGCGCCCCACUGACGCUGAAGCACGAAAGAGUGGGUAUCGAACAGGAUUAGAUACCCUAGUAGUC
rnacentral:rRNA from 1 species